rnacentral:rRNA from 1 species
ACUCCUACGGGAGGCAGCAGUGGGGAAUUUUGGACAAUGGGCGAAAGCCUGAUCCAGCCAUGCCGCGUGCAGGAUGAAGGCCUUCGGGUUGUAAACUGCUUUUGUACGGAACGAAACGGCCUUUUCUAAUAAAGAGGGCUAAUGACGGUACCGUAAGAAUAAGCACCGGCUAACUACGUGCCAGCAGCCGCGGUAAUACGUAGGGUGCAAGCGUUAAUCGGAAUUACUGGGCGUAAAGCGUGCGCAGGCGGUUAUGUAAGACAGUUGUGAAAUCCCCGGGCUCAACCUGGGAACUGCAUCUGUGACUGCAUAGCUAGAGUACGGUAGAGGGAGAUGGAAUUCCGCGUGUAGCAGUGAAAUGCGUAGAUAUGCGGAGGAACACCGAUGGCGAAGGCAAUCCCCUGGACCUGUACUGACGCUCAUGCACGAAAGCGUGGGGAGCAAACAGGAUUAGAAACCCCGGUAGUCCCAUGAU